CUUCGGAUUGAAGCAACUGUGACUGAGCGGCGGACGGGUGAGUAACGCGUGGGUAACCUACCUCAUACAGGGGGAUAACAGUUGGAAACGGCUGCUAAUACCGCAUAAGCGCACAGUACCGCAUGGUACCGUGUGAAAAACUCCGGUGGUAUGAGAUGGACCCGCGUCUGAUUAGCUAGUUGGUGGGGUAACGGCCUACCAAGGCGACGAUCAGUAGCCGACCUGAGAGGGUGACCGGCCACAUUGGGACUGAGACACGGCCCAAACUCCUACGGGAGGCAGCAGUGGGGAAUAUUGCACAAUGGGGGAAACCCUGAUGCAGCGACGCCGCGUGAGCGAUGAAGUAUUUCGGUAUGUAAAGCUCUAUCAGCAGGGAAGAAAAUGACGGUACCUGACUAAGAAGCCCCGGCUAACUACGUGCCAGCAGCCGCGGUAAUACGUAGGGGGCAAGCGUUAUCCGGAUUUACUGGGUGUAAAGGGAGCGUAGACGGCAUGGCAAGCCAGAUGUGAAAGCCCGGGGCUCAACCCCGGGACUGCAUUUGGAACUGUCAGGCUAGAGUGUCGGAGAGGAAAGCGGAAUUCCUAGUGUAGCGGUGAAAUGCGUAGAUAUUAGGAGGAACACCAGUGGCGAAGGCGGCUUUCUGGACGAUGACUGACGUUGAGGCUCGA
rnacentral:rRNA from 1 species